rnacentral:piRNA from 1 species
UAACUCUUUUAGGUGAGAAGAUACAGGUUU